rnacentral:rRNA from 1 species
GGAUUAGAUACCCUGGUAGUCCACGCCGUAAACGAUGGGUACUAGCUGUUGGGCAGAGAUGCUUAGUGGCGAAGCUAACGCGAUAAGUACCCCGCCUGGGGAGUACGGCCGCAAGGUUAAAACUCAAAGGAAUUGACGGGGACCCGCACAAGCGGUGGAGCAUGUUGUUUAAUUCGAUGCAACGCGAAGAACCUUACCUAGACUUGAUCCCUAUCAUAGCUCUUGUAAUGAGAGUGUCAGUUCGGCUGGAUAGGUGACAGGUGCUGCAUGGCUGUCGUCAGCUCGUGCUG